rnacentral:rRNA from 1 species
GAUGAACGCUGACAGAAUGCUUAACACAUGCAAGUCGACUCGAGUCUUCGGACUUGGGUGGCGCACGGGUGAGUAACGCGUAAAGAACUUGCCUCUUAGACCGGGACAACAUCUGGAAACGGAUGCUAAUACCGGAUAUUAUGGUUUUUUCGCAUGGAGGAAUCAUGAAAGCUAGAUGCGCUAAGAGAGAGCUUUGCGUCCCAUUAGCUGGUUGGUGAGGUAACGGCCCACCAAGGCAAUGAUGGGUAGCCGGCCUGAGAGGGUGAACGGCCACAAGGGGACUGAGACACGGCCCUUACUCCUACGGGAGGCAGCAGUGGGGAAUAUUGGACAAUGGACCGCAAGUCUGAUCCAGCAAUUCUGUGUGCACGAUGACGUUUUUCGGAAUGUAAAGUGCUUUCAGUCGGGAAGAAGUCAGUGACGGUACCGACAGAAGAAGCGACGGCUAAAUACGUGCCAGCAGCCGCGGUAAUACGUAUGUCGCAAGCGUUAUCCGGAUUUAUUGGGCGUAAAGCGCGUCUAGGCGGCAAGGAAAGUCUGAUGUGAAAAUGCGGAGCUCAACUCCGUAUGGCGUUGGAAACUGCCUUACUAGAGUACUGGAGAGGUAGGCGGAACUACAAGUGUAGAGGUGAAAUUCGUAGAUAUUUGUAGGAAUGCCGAUGGGGAAGCCAGCCUACUGGACAGAUACUGACGCUGAAGCGCGAAAAGCGUGGGGUAGCAAACAGG